AGCUCUGCACCGCUGGAUGGGUGCACUGCUAUCAUUAGGGGCUUUUGAGGGGAUUUUAUGACUAUUUGAGCAGGAAUCUUUCACAUCCUCAUCAUAUGUCUCAUGGCUGUUGAAAUGUCAUGAAAUACAAAACACUUUUAAAAGUCUUUUGUAAAAUCCCUACAACUAAAAAGGCAGUUCUGUGAUGACAUCAUCGUACAGGAAGUGACAUCAUUUUGGAGGGAAAACAACAGCACCAACAUCAAACCCAGAACAUUCCUUGAGCAGCAGAAGUUGGAAUGCCACAUGGUUUUAAUGCCCCGCCCACCGCAGCGAUGAUGACACGCAGCGCCCCUGACCCCCCGCCUCUGGAGCUUGAAACUCAGUUUUAUGGGAAAGAGCAACCAGCACAAUUGUUAAAAUCCAAAAGAAAAUACAGAGGAUAGAAAGUCAUACAGGUUUUGAACUGUGUAAAUGACAGACGCGGAUAAGAGAUUGUGCCCGUCCUCCUUAAGAUGAAAGAUCAGGGUCAUCAUUCCCAGACCUGCAGGAGCCUCAACAACCACCUCCAAUCCUGAGGAGAAAUCCUGAGGAGAAAUCCUGCUCUUCAGUAAUUUAUUACGAGUUUCAGCGUGCCAGAAACAUUCGUCUGAGAACGCCUGAAGAUUUUAUCAAGCUUUAAUUCAACACUUGGCCUGAAAUAUUUUAUUAUGUGAAACGAUUCAGACCAAUUCAUCUGAUAUCUUCACUCUGUGUUCAUGAAGGACCCCAACAGCUGUGAACUUAUUCCUCGAGGAAAAGGUUCCAGUUCAUUCACAGUUUCCAGUCAAGGACCAAAAAGUCCAUGAAAGAGCCAUAAAGAAGUUGACGGAGGCUGACAGGACGUGGUCACUAUGAAGUGUUGUUGUAUGGAAAAGUGGAGCAUGUACAUCUGUACGAGCUGUCAUAACAACACAGACUGUACAUCACAGCGCACGCGGAGGGAGGAGGGACGAUUUUCCACUACGCUUCACUUCCAGACCCUAGAUGGAUGCAGAGAGGAAAGAUAGUGGCCUUCGCACGUUCCUCUGUUGAUUUAUUUUCAUUUUUACUCAAGCUGCACGUCACCACAGGAGUUUACAGACACUCGUAGCUGUCUGGGAGAGACGUCAGUGCUGUCUUCUCUCAUGUUCAGAAUGAUGCAAAUAUUUCAGGUGUGCUUUGCAAGAGCUGACAUUGCAACGUUUUGUUUUCUCAAUAUAUAUUGCAAAAUGAAAAAUACAGGAAUUUUCACUAGAUGACUUGAAUAACAUUAGUAAGAAUGAAUCAUUCUAGAAUGAGUGGGGUUAUAUGCAUCUGCGUAGAAAAUAAAAAUUUUAAGAUGUGGGUGUUCA